rnacentral:lncRNA from 1 species
GAAGGGUGGGGGGAGGGGAGGCCAUGAUCACCGGGUGGAGGGUGGGAGUAGGUGGACAUGGGUUAGAAAGGUCGUGGGCCAGGCGGCCUCCUAGGCAGCUUCCUGAUGUUGGCCUUUUCCUAGAUGGAAGCCAGCCGUCGGGAGCACACACACCACAUUACAAGGAUCCCAGCCAGGCCCAGGAGGGGAAGCAAGGACACCCUAGAGCCAGAGAGAACUGGCAGGGUUUUUCAUGGGCCGAUCUGCUGAAUUCAGCCUAGGAGCUGAGGCCAACAUCUGAGUCUCUUCAGCAUACAAGUUUGAAAGAAGUCCUAGCAACUUCAAGCUCAGAACUACGGGUGGCAGCAGCUCCUUCUUGACGUCGAAGCCUCCCAUUCCAGAGAGAGUCAAGGCCCGGAUCAAAAAAAGCCCACAAGCACCGAUGACUGAGCUGCUGACUACCCCAGCAUCUCCAACUCAACCUCCUCUUUCUGCCUCUACCCAAAUUUUAAAACUUUUAAACAUGGGUUUAAAAAUGGUAAUGAGUAAAGUUGCAUCCAAGUGUAUCAAAUAAAAUUAAAUAUCCAUAAAUGCUGUAAUAAUUCCUGCUUUGAUGCUGAACUAAAGAAUUUUCUGCUGGGCGCGGUGGCUCAUGCCUGUAAUCCCAGCACUUUGGGAGGCCAAGGCAGGUGGAUCACGAGGUCAGGAGUUCAAGACCUGCCUGGCCAACGUGGUGAAACCCCAUCUCUACUAAAAAUACAAAAAUUAGCUGGGCAUGGUGGCAGGCAUCUGUAGUCCCAGCUACUCAGGAGGCUGAGGCAGAAGAAUCACUUGAACCCGGGAGACAGAGGUUGUAGUGAGCCAAGAUGGCACCACUGCACUCCAUCCUGGGCAACAAGCGAGAUUCCAUCUCAAAAGAAAAAAAAAAAGAAUUUUCUGUUUAUAUUACAUAUAGUCUCACUUCAUAUUUCAUUUCUCUCACCUCUGAUACCUGGAGUCCUUGGCUAGUACUGAAAUUGAGUAAAGUCAUUCUCAUGAGUUUUAGUAAAGUCAAAACUCAAAACUCAUGAAGUUGGCAAAACUCAAAGAAUGCUUUGGUCUAGUUUGACAUUGGCCAGUAUGUUUUUCAUAUCCAGUCAUUCCUUUUUUCCUGGCUGACAUCCUCACUUCCUGCCUGUGGAGGAAAAGUUAAAUAUUAAAUUUGAACUCAAUUGAAUGUGGACACAAACAAUGGUCACCAAGUCCGGGAACAGGUUGUGUGAGUCCCUUGAGGCAUUUAUCCUGCCCUGUUUCGGAGAAAUCUCUAUUUCAAACUAUUCCUAUGUGUUACUUACUGAAAAACAACAGACAAUCACAAAAACAAGUUGACCUU